rnacentral:lncRNA from 1 species
AGAGCUUUAACUUCAAUCUACUGAUAGAAUAAAAACUUUUACAUGAUCAAAAUCACUUCAAACCCACUUGUAGGUACUUAUCGAAGCUUAGAUUGGUGACAUAAAACAAGUAAUAACAUGUGGAAACAAAUCAAAGUAUACGUAUAUCUUACACCAAACAGUUAAAAAAAGAAACUAACUCUAUAAUCCGUUGAGUAAUGCUUGUGUGGAAGACCUAUUGUCUCCAUCCCAGCUACAGUAAAAUCACGUGCAAUUAGGUAUCACUCGUUUCAAAUCAGUACAAAUACAAAUGAAUUUAAAGUGAGCAAAAAACGCUCCCAUGGCUUUUGCCUAUUGACUUCGAGACAGCAAUAGAAACGACAGAUGAUUUCGGGAAUUAGAUCCCAGCCCCGCAAAAUUAGUAGGAAAUCAAAGGCCAGGUUUUGAAUCACAGAUUGAGAAAGCUAACAUAACACGAAGUAGAGAUACGAACCUUUUCUCUUCAUGCAUGAGCGAGUGCACACACAUAGGACAGACUUUCCUUUUUUAUAAAAUGGAGGCGUUCACACCAGCUUAUGCGCAUCUCUGCAUAUUCACUGGUUAUUUGCUGCCUCUCACUACCACAAACAAGGUAAUCAGCCCACCAUAACUUAAGCAAAUGGAAAUAACACCAGUAGGAUUUGACCCUUGGUAAGUAAGAUCGCCACUCUAAACUCAUUAGAACUCAUUAGCGGCUAUAUGAAAAUACAGCAGACUAUAGAAAUGCACCAGAAAAAUCACCAACUUGUGCUUGCUGUCAAGGAGGUUUCCAUGGGGACACAAGACAAGCCACUUAUUAGGCUUUAAAAGAGAACAUUAUCUUCAAGUUUUAUCUAAACAUUGCACUUAUAAAAGAUUUGCUCAAUUGCUAAAAUGAAAGACAACUAAAGAACCAACCAUUCAGAAACUUGCCUCUAUAUGCAUUGCAUAGGGAUAACAUUUCUUCCCAGGAAAAUUAGUUUCAAGCCAGUGGGUUUAGGCGAAAAUGUGAGAUGCUAACUAGAAGUGAGAAAAACAGAAUAUGGACCCAUAACAUUAGAUAAGUAUUUAGCGCAGCGGUGAAAACCUUGAGAGUGGAGGCUAACCACAUGGUAACUCUGGGUUUGAGUCACAAAUAGUUUUUCGUAGCGCCAACUUUUAGUAGAAUCCACAAUGUUCAUAUCCAGGAAUCCGCCACCAGUUGAAAGGCUCAACCAACCCCAAUCAGUUAACAAACAUGGUACUGACUUCAGUUGAACCCGUGGUGUUCACAUCCUGGAUCCAUUAGCAUCAAUAAGGCUUGAGCACAUUUUAAUAGAACUCACGGUCUUCGAAUCCUGGAUCCACCACCGUCGAUAAAGCUUGACCAACCCCUAUCAGUCAACAAUACGUAGAGGCCACCCACUCUCCCCUCCACCCUCCAGAAACAGGAUCCCAAACCAUUUUGUUCCAAAAGAAAAGAGCAAAAAAGAAUAUUCCCAUAUAGUAAAGGAGUAUUAAGCGUACUGUGGUAAGGGACAAGUGUUUUUUUUAAAGAAUAAUAGUUACAGUCAAACUUCUCUAUAACAACCUCGUUUGUUACGAAUAUUCUUGGAUGUUAUAGCGAAGCCUGGUAUAGAGAACAUACAUAAUAUAACAUAACAUAAAAUUUGGUUCCGGAAAAGGCUCGCUUUUGUAGUGAGAGUGUGGUUAUAUAGGAAUGUUGUUACAGAAAGGUCUAACUAUAUAAGGAUAGGUGAUUUAGGGCUGCUUAUCAGGCGGACUGGGCAGUUAUUUGCUCUUAAUGGUUUGGCUUAACUGUUAUCAGCUUUUAAAUAUAUUAAUCCGUUAGCCACCCGAUAAGAUAUCGGGCAGAUUGGUAUCGGUUUAGCUCUUAUCGGGCGGUUAUCAGACGGUUUAUCAGCCUAGCAUACAUAUUCAUAAAUCGAAAUUAUCCUCAACUAGGUACUGCCGACUCAAUUGGUUUGUACACUGCAAAACUUUUUCUAAACUCUAGGAAAUCAUAUACUAGGAAAUGUUGUUACUUCUUGGAGCGACUCUAAAGGAGGAUGAGUACUGCAUUUAUAGUUAGUAGAAGGUGAGUACUUGAUACAGUAACCGCAGGAGCAAGGAAGGAACAAUUCAGAGUUCCAAACAGUAGGAAAUCAUAAGUAAGAGUACCUGGAUAAGAAGAUAAGAAGCCGCGAGAGGGAGAGACAAGACGGCGAGAGGGACACCGGUGAAAGCCGCCGACAACGAGGACCGAUGGCCGAUGGGCGGUGGCUGCUGGUUUAGGCGUUAAAGGUUUCUAUGAUUUUGUCUUUUGAUUAUUUAGGAAUAGAGACGGGUUUGUUUAGGCGUUAGACUAUAGACUAUAGAGACAGCAGAGACGGGUAUAUUCUCGAUUAUUC